UGACAGAGUGAGAGAGGGGGUGACUAAUGACAGAGUGAGAGAGGGGGUGACUAGUGACAGAGUAAGAGAGGGGGUGACUGUCACUAGUCACCCCAUCCCUCUCUCUGUCACUAGUCACUCCCUCCCUCCCUAACUCUGU
rnacentral:miRNA from 1 species